rnacentral:rRNA from 1 species
GAACGAACGCUGGCGGCGCGCCUAAUACAUGCAAGUCGAGCGAGAAGACGUAGCAAUACGUUUGUAAAGCGGCGAACGGGUGAGGAAUACAUGGGUAACCUACCCUCGAGUGGGGAAUAACUAGCCGAAAGGUUAGCUAAUACCGCGUACGCUCCUUGGACUUCGGUUCAGGGAGGAAAGCGAUACCGUGGGUAUCGCGCUCUUGGAUGGGCUCAUGUCCUAUCAGCUUGUUGGUGAGGAACGGCUCACCAAGGCUUCGACGGGUAGCUGGUCUGAGAGGACGAUCAGCCACACUGGCACUGCGACACGGGCCAGACUCCUACGGGAGCAGCAGUAAGGAAUAUUGCGCAAUGGGCGAAAGCCUGACGCAGCGACGCCGCGU